rnacentral:rRNA from 1 species
CAGCCGCGGUAAGACGUAGGACGCGAGCGUUAUCCGGAAUUACUGGGCGUAAAGGGCCAGCCAGCCGGCUUGGUAAGUUGUGCGUGAAAGCCUCGUGCUCAACGCGAGGAAGCCGGACAACACUGUCAAGCUAGAGGGCAUCAGAGGGGAGUGGAAUUCCCGGAGUAGCGGUAAAAUGCGCAGAUAUCGGGAGGAACACCGAUGGCGAAGGCAGCUCCCUGGGAUGCACCUGACGCUAAGAGGCGAAAGCUAGGGGAGCGAACAGGAUUAGAGACCCUGGUAGUCCUAGCUGUAAACGCUGGGUGCUAGAUGUGGGACGUAGAAGUUCCGUGCCGGAGCAAACGCGAUAAGCACCCCGCCUGGGAAUUACGGUCGCAAGGCUAAAACUCAAACGAAUUGACGGGGCCCCGCACAAGCAGCGGAGCGUGUGGUUCAAUUCGAUGCUACACGAAGAACCUUACCUGGGUUUGACAUGUACGUGGUACGAAGGCGAAAGCCUAAGGACCCUUCGGGGAGCGUACACAGGUGCUGCAUGGCUGUCGUCAGCUCGUGCCGUGAGGUGUCGGGUUAAGUCCCGUAACGAGCGCAACCCUUGCCCUUAGUUACAAGUGUCUAAGGGGACUGCCGGCGGGAAGCCGGAGGAAGGUGGGGAUGACGUCAAGUCAGCAUGGCCCUUAUGUCCAGGGCUACACACACGCUACAAUGGUCAGUACAAAGGGUAGCGAAGUCGCGAGGCGGAGCGAAUCUCAACAAAGCUGAUCGUAGUUCGGAUUGCAGGCUGCAACCCGCCUGCAUGAAGCUGGAGUUGCUAGUAACCGCGCGUCAGCCAUAGUGCGGUGAAUACGUACCCGGGGCUUGUACACACCGCCCGUCACGUCAUGGGAGUCGGUAACGCCUGAAGCCGGUAGUCUGGCCCGCAAGGGGGACGCUGUCGAAGGCGG